GAUGAACGCUGGCGGCGUGCCUAAUACAUGCAAGUCGAGCGAACAGACGAGGAGCUUGCUCCUCUGACGUUAGCGGCGGACGGGUGAGUAACACGUGGAUAACCUACCUAUAAGACUGGGAUAACUUCGGGAAACCGGAGCUAAUACCGGAUAAUAUAUUGAACCGCAUGGUUCAAUAGUGAAAGACGGUUUUGCUGUCACUUAUAGAUGGAUCCGCGCCGCAUUAGCUAGUUGGUAAGGUAACGGCUUACCAAGGCGACGAUGCGUAGCCGACCUGAGAGGGUGAUAGGCCACACUGGAACUGAGACACGGCCCAGACUCCUACGGGAGGCAGCAGUAGGGAAUCUUCCGCAAUGGGCGAAAGCCUGACGGAGCAACGCCGCGUGAGUGAUGAAGGUCUUCGGAUCGUAAAACUCUGUUAUUAGGGAAGAACAAAUGUGUAAGUAACUAUGCACGUCUUGACGGUACCUAAUCAGAAAGCCACGGCUAACUACGUG
rnacentral:rRNA from 1 species